UGCCACUCUUAACGGGGUGGCUUUUCAGAAGUGUAAAAAGCUUCUGGAAUAAGGGCUGGGCAAGACCGGUGCCAGCCACCGCGGUAACACCGGCAGCUCAAGUGGUAGCCGCUUUUAUUGGGCCUAAAGCGUCCGUAGCCGGUCUGAUAAGUCUCUGGUGAAAUCCCACAGCUUAACUGUGGGAAUUGCUGGAGAUACUAUCAUGACUCGAGGUCGGGAGAGGCUGGAGGUACUCCCAGGGUAGGGGUGAAAUCCUGUAAUCCUGGGAGGACCACCUGUGGCGAAGGCGUCCAGCUGGAACGAACCUGACGGUGAGGGACGAAAGCCAGGGGCGCGAACCGGGUUAGAUACCCGGGUAGUCCUGGCCGUAAACGAUGUGGACUUGGUGUUGAGAUGGCUUCGAGCUGCCCCAGUGCCGAAGGGAAGCUGUUAAGUCCACCGCCUGGGAAGUACGGCCGCA
rnacentral:rRNA from 1 species